rnacentral:rRNA from 1 species
UUGGGUUAAAUCCGAGUGUAAGGCGCAGAGAUCGCGCCCCCCUCGCAAGAGGCACAAAGGAAGGUGCUGCAUGGCUGUCGUCAGCUCGUGUCGUGAGAUGUUGGGUUAAGUCCCGNAACGAGCGCAACCCUUACCAUUAGUUACCAUCAUUCAGUUGGGGACUCUAAUGGAACUGCCGGUGAUAAACCGGAGGAAGGUGGGGAUGACGUCAAGUCAUCAUGGCCUUUAUGUCCAGGGCUACACACGUGCUACAAUGGACGGUACAAACCGCCGCAAACUCGCGAGAGGGAGCCAAUCGGAAAAAACCGUUCUCAGUUCGGAUUGUAGUCUGCAACUCGACUACAUGAAGUUGGAAUCGCUAGUAAUCGCAGAUCAGCACGCUGCGGUGAAUACGUUCCCAGGUCUUGUACACACCGCCCGUCACAUCACGAAAGUGGGCUGUACUAGAAGUGGCCGAGCUAACCCGCAAGGGGGGCAGGUUACGACGGUAUGGUUCAUGAUUGGGGUGAAGUCGUAACAAGGUAAGCGUAGUGCU